rnacentral:rRNA from 1 species
AUUGAACGCUGGCGGCAUGCUUUACACAUGCAAGUCGAACGGCAGCAUGGGUGCUUGCACCUGAUGGCGAGUGGCGAACGGGUGAGUAAUAUAUCGGAACAUGUCCGGAAGUGGGGGAUAACGUAGCGAAAGUUACGCUAAUACCGCAUAUGCCCUGAGGGGGAAAGGAGGGGAUCGCAAGACCUUUCGCUUUCGGAGUGGCCGAUAUCAGGUUAGCUAGUUGGUGAGGUAAAGGCUCACCAAGGCGACGAUCUGUAGCGGGUCUGAGAGGAUGAUCCGCCACACUGGGACUGAGACACGGCCCAGACUCCUACGGGAGGCAGCAGUGGGGAAUUUUGGACAAUGGGGGCAACCCUGAUCCAGCCAUGCCGCGUGAGUGAAGAAGGCCUUCGGGUUGUAAAGCUCUUUCGGACAGAAAGAAAUCGUGCAGUCUAAUACACUGCAUGGAUGACGGUACUGUAAGAAGAAGCACCGGCUAACUACGUGCCAGCAGCCGCAGUAA